UAAUACAGAGGGUGCAAGCGUUAAUCGGAAUUACUGGGCGUAAAGCGCGCGUAGGCGGUCGAGUAAGUCGGAUGUGAAAUCCCCGGGCUUAACCUGGGAAUUGCAUUCGAUACUGCUUGGCUAGAGUGUGGAAGAGGGAAGCGGAAUUUCCGGUGUAGCGGUGAAAUGCGUAGAUAUCGGAAGGAACACCAGUGGCGAAGGCGGCUUCCUGGUCCAACACUGACGCUGAGGCGCGAAAGCGUGGGGAGCGAACAGG
rnacentral:rRNA from 1 species